rnacentral:rRNA from 1 species
UACGUAGGGGGCAAGCGUUGUCCGGAAUUAUUGGGCGUAAAGAGCGCGUAGGCGGUCCGAUAAGUCGGCUGUGAAAGUCAGGGGCUCAACCCUUGAAAGCCGGCCGAUACUGUCGGACUAGAGUCCGGAAGAGGCAAGUGGAAUUCCCGGUGUAGCGGUGAAAUGCGCAGAUAUCGGGAGGAACACCAAUGGCGAAGGCAGCUCGCUGGGACGGUACUGACGCUGAGACGCGAAAGCGUGGGAGCAAACAGGG